rnacentral:sRNA from 1 species
AGGAGCUAAUCGUGUAGAAAACUUUGAAACUUUCCUUUUGUAUAUUACAUUAAUCCAUAGAAGAAAAUCUCUUUUAAUGAGGAGUGAUGUAGUUACAAACUCUCCAGAGCCAUAAUUAGAGCAAACUAAUUGAAGUUGUGUUUUGACACACUUUCCCAAUUCACGGGUGCUGGAUGACAUAUUCACAACACUGUUGCUGCACAACCAUGGCGACGGCAAAAUCAUUAGGCUAAUAACACUUAUUUGCAUUCUUAGCAUGCCAGCAGCUCUCCCUGUUAAAUACUGUUUCAACCACUGCUCGUUUACUGUAAGUUUCCACUGAAAGAUAUUAACAGUAAUUAUUACUACUUUUGUGGAAUUUUAAUGUUAAAAA